rnacentral:rRNA from 1 species
AUUGAACGCUGGCGGCAGGCCUAACACAUGCAAGUCGAGCGGUAACACAGGGAGCUUGCUCCCGGGUGACGAGCGGCGGACGGGUGAGUAAUGUCUGGGAAACUGCCUGAUGGAGGGGGAUAACUACUGGAAACGGUAGCUAAUACCGCAUAACGUCGCAAGACCAAAGAGGGGGACCUUCGGGCCUCUUGCCAUCAGAUGUGCCCAGAUGGGAUUAGCUAGUAGGUGGGGUAACGGCUCACCUAGGCGACGAUCCCUAGCUGGUCUGAGAGGAUGACCAGCCACACUGGAACUGAGACACGGUCCAGACUCCUACGGGAGGCAGCAGUGGGGAAUAUUGCACAAUGGGCGCAAGCCUGAUGCAGCCAUGCCGCGUGUAUGAAGAAGGCCUUCGGGUUGUAAAGUACUUUCAGCGGGGAGGAAGGUGCUGAGGUUAAUAACCUCAGCAAUUGACGUUACCCGCAGAAGAAGCACCGGCUAACUCCGUGCCAGCCGCCGCCGUAA